rnacentral:rRNA from 1 species
GUAGGGGGCAAGCGUUAUCCGGAUUUACUGGGUGUAAAGGGAGCGUAGACGGAUGGACAAGUCUGAUGUGAAAGGCUGGGGCUCAACCCCGGGACUGCAUUGGAAACUGCCCGUCUUGAGUGCCGGAGAGGUAAGCGGAAUUCCUAGUGUAGCGGCGAAAUGCGUAGAUAUAUGGAGGAACACCGGUGGCGAAAGCGGCUCUCUGGUCUGUAACUGACGCUGAGGCUCGAAAGCGUGGGGAGCGAACAGGAUUAGAUACCCUGGUAGUCCACGCCGUAAACGAUGAGUGCUAGGUGUUGGAUCCUUUCCGGGAUUCAGUGCCGCAGCUAACGCAUUAAGCACUCCGCCUGGGGAGU